rnacentral:tRNA from 1 species
GCAGCCGUGGCCUACUGGUAAGGGGUUCGGACUUGUAACCGAAGGGUUGCUGGUUCGAUCCCUGACCCAGUAGGA